GGAAUUGGAAUCCAUGAAAUUAAAUCCUUCUUUUGAUCGAAAUCGAUGAAGUUAAAAUUACUAAUGAUAGUAUAACAAUUAAACACAAGCAAAUUGAAGCAACAAUAUCUCUCUCUUCACCUCAGCAGCAUUCAAAAAUAAUAAUAAUAAUAAUAAUGAUGAUGAUAUUUUGUGAAGCUUACGCAGAAGCUAUCUCUAUCCGUAUGUAAUU
rnacentral:misc_RNA from 1 species